CACUCUUUCCAUUUCUGAUCCCUCUAUGAGUACUGUUGUGUGUUCCCUUGUCUUAUCCUCCUUGAAGUCCGUGGAGAUGUGGUGUUCUGAGGAUGAGACGAUUGACAUCAACAACCACAACCACUUUCCUUUGUGUCAGACGAACUGUCUUGGAACCAGCACUGAAGUGUAAUUAUGAAGAAAGCACGGCAGUGCCUCUACUUCCUCAGGAUUUUGUGGAGAUUCAGCAUGACAUCUAAAACUUCAACAAGUGGAUAUGGCUCAGUCCCUCUGUGAGGUAAAGGCCUCCCACCAUUGAGCAAAUCUACAUGGAAUGGGGUUACAGGGACCCCCCACCAUCCAGGACAUGUUCUCUUCUCACCCUUGCCAUCAGGAAGUUGGUACCGGAACCUCAGAACUCACACCUCCUGGUUCAGGAACAGUUACCACCCCUCAAGCAUUAAGUUCCCGAACAAUAGUUUAGUUCAACUUCACUUGACCCAUUAUUGAAAUGUUCACACAACCUAUGGACUCACUUUCAAGACUCUUCAUCUCAUGUUCUUGAAAUUUAUUGUUUAUUCAUUUAUUAUUAUUUUCUUUCUUUCUGUUUGCACAUUUUGUUGUCUUCUGUACCAUGGUUGAACACCCAAGUUGGUGUGGUCUUCCUUGAUUCUGUUCUGGCUAUUAUUCUGCGGAUUUAUUGAGUAUGCCAGCAAGGCAAUGAAUCUCAGGGUUGUAUAUGGUGACAUAUAUGUACUUUGAUAAUAAAUUUACUUUUAACAUUGAUCUGA